AACGCUGGCGGCGUGCUUAACACAUGCAAGUCGAACGAAGCGGCAGUGAAGGAGGCUUCGGCCAAUGGAUCUGCUGACUUAGUGGCGGACGGGUGAGUAACGCGUGAGCAACCUGCCUUUCAGAGGGGGAUAACGUUUGGAAACGAACGCUAAUACCGCAUGACAUAGGUUUACCGCAUGGUAGAGCUAUCAAAGGAGCAAUCCGCUGAAAGAUGGGCUCGCGUCCGAUUAGAUAGUUGGUGGGGUAACGGCCUACCAAGUCGACGAUCGGUAGCCGGACUGAGAGGUUGAACGGCCACAUUGGGACUGAGACACGGCCCAGACUCCUACGGGAGGCAGCAGUGGGGAAUAUUGCACAAUGGGCGCAAGCCUGAAUGCAGCAACGCCGCGUGAGGGAAGACGGUUUUCGGAUUGUAAACCUCUGUUCUUGGUGACGAAAGAAAUGACGCUAACCGAGAAGGAAGCCACGGCUAACUACGUGCCAGCAGCGGC
rnacentral:rRNA from 1 species